GAUGAAGAACGCAGCGAAAUGCGAUAAGUAGUGUGAAUUGCAGAAUUCAGUGAAUCAUCGAAUCUUUGAACGCACAUCGCGCCCCUUGGUAUCCCGAGGGGCAUGCCUGUUCGAGCGUCAUUUCACCACUCAAGCCUGGCUUGGUGUUGGGCGACGUCCUCUUUGGGGACGCGCCUCGAAACGCUCGGCGGCGUGGCACCGGCUUUAAGCGUAGCAGAAUCUUUCGCUUUGGAAGUCGGGGCCCCGUCUGCCGGAAGACCUGCUCGCAAGGUUGACCUCGGAUCAGGCAGGGAUACCCGCUGAACUUAAGCAUAUCAAUAAGCGGAGGA
rnacentral:misc_RNA from 1 species